rnacentral:misc_RNA from 1 species
UGUGGUGUCAAAGAAACAACAAAAACUGAAAGAGGAGAGCAAGUAAGUGAUCGUUUUGAACACAGUGGAAGCCGCCGCAUGGUGUCGAAGACACUUACUCUACAUAUUACCGGCACGCACACACACACACACACACACACACACAAUGCUGGGGACGUUGUUUUUCGACGAGUCGCGCGUCAGUACGGCAUUUCGGGCGCGCGUGCGUCAGCAAGCGGGGGCCUCCCAUGAGUCGAGUGCGACCAGGCACAUCCUGUCGAGCACCAGCCUUGCAGGCUCGGCGGCGCACGACGGUGUAGCGCGCCUGCAUGACGGUGGCGGCCUCGUGCCGGCGCACGGCUGCACCUUCAGCUGCCGCGGCGAGGUGGCGUUGCCGUCUCUUCAAGCCGCACUGCUCUGGUGGCUGGACGCCGAUGUGAGUGUGGUUCAGCUGCUCGUCGUGAACAAUACGCAAAGCAGCAAAGCCGCUCGAAGCUGCCAAUCUCGCCUCUUGACCGUUGAGCUGCCUGUUGCCUCUCCCAGCGACCUCGUGACGUGUGGCGUGACUCGCAGUUACAUGGGCGAUAAUGGUGUUGCGGUCGUUUGGGUUCAGCGCGGCGUUUCCGGAGAGGGCGAAGAGGAGGCGCUGUGCCCCGGUUUUGCGCACGUGACUGUGCAGCGUGAGGCAGACAACACCGGCCACAGCAAUCUCCUGCUCUACCCAGAUGAGCGAGUUGUUCAGUGCGCACCACUGUCUCGGGUCCCGAGCUCCUUCUUCCAGAGUGCCUUAGCCGGCAGCGGAAGUGCUGCCUGCGUCGUUGCGGCGCUGCCCGACGAUGCAACGCAGCGCACCGUUUCCAUCGUUGUUCUCACCGAUGGCUCCCGUGUCUGGCGCGCGGAGCUGUUCGCGGAUGGCACCACCGCCGUCAGUGGAUUUCGAGACGAGUACCGGCGCAACAUGCUCCGGUCCUUCUGUGACGGCAACGAGGAGGUGCGGCUGCUCGACACGCGCAGUGUUGUCGCCGAUCUGCAGCGACUGGCGAGCCCGGCUGCGUCGAACGCGCCAUCCUUCGCUGAUUCUGGCGCGGAGGAGGGGAGCACUUCACCUCGUGGUUCUACGUGGAUUCGCCGGCUGCUGGGUGGCGGCGGUCGCGCAGGGGCGAAUGCUGCCGAUGGCAGCGACGGGGCCGCCUCUGGCGUGCUAGACGUGGCGCUGCCUGCCGUCGUCAAGAAGCGACUUUACGCUGCUGUCACGGCCGUCCAGCAAAGCCGGUUUGUUGCGCUGACCCGAUGGAACGGCCAGUUGGAGGUGUAUGAUACGGCCAGCGGCACCCUGAAGUUGGCCCGGGCUUACCCGAUUGGAAUACUGCCCCAGGCGAUACUCCGCCCCAUCGAUGGUAACUUCUCAGGUCGUGGGGCGAAAGCACCGGGAGGGAAGAGCGCGCUCUGCGCACUACCGCCGGGGCCUCUCGCACAGUGGGCCACGCAGUGCUCCACAACACAGCUGCUGCACGUCGUCUCGUGCUGUAGCGGUGGAGGGGGGCGUGCGUGCUUCUGGAGCGCACUCCCGCCCCUGGCGCCGUCGUCGUCGAGGAUCGUCGGGCUUGAGGAAGCUAGCGACGCUGGCGAGGUUCUGGCGCAGCACUGCACGCUAAGCGUGGCGCCACCGACGCAAUCCAGCUUUCCACUCGCGUGUGCAGUGACAUCAGACGGGCGAAAAAUGAUCCUCGUGAGCGACGUCGGUACGGAGGAGGAUGGGCACUUGCUGUGCACCCGCACUCUCGCCGCACUGACGCUGCGUGGCGACCAGGCUUCCGAGGACGGAGUGGCAACGGUGGUGCAGGUGAUGGAGGCGACAGGUGGCGCCGCGUUUGGUGACCUGCUGCGCACAGGUCGCAUGCACGGAUAUCUCUGCCAGGGUGCGCGCAUGCAGAGCGUCGUCGCGCAGGAUAACGCGGUGCUAAUGGUGGAGCGCGGCCCGCAGAUGUGCCGGCUGUACGCGCUGGAGGAGGCUGCCCCGGAUGCGAUGCGGCUGGCGAACGAGCGAGUGGUGGUCGGCGUAGAUGAAGAGGACGUCUACGCCAUGGCGCACGACAUGUUUGGCGAUGACGCCAUCGCCACGUACGUUGGCGGCGCACUUUUGCCGUCGCAUCGCGUGCACUACGUACCGCUGUUCGAGGCAUCGUUGCUCCUGCCGGGCGCUGCUGUGCCGUCCACUGCAGACGACACGGAUGGGUUUGCUCUCUACUGGGAAGGCGUCAGCGUUCUUCAAGCGUGCCCGCAUGGAUCGCGGCUCAUGUCGGAUCUACUGCAGGAUGUCCUUCUCGCCACUACCCCCAUAGCACGGCUCUCCUCGCUACCACGCUUUCUAAGUGAGGCGCACCUUAGCGGGUACGCAGCGGCGCUGCAGCGCAACGCGGCUGCAACGAAAGCCUCUGUGCACGCAGCCAUUCGUAUGGCGCUGCUGCCGCCUUCGACGGCUGCAGCUGGCGAGACAGCACACGCGCUUUACCGCUUCAGCCGCCUCUACGCAACGCACGCCACCCUCGGCGAGCUGCUCUCUCGGAUCACCUUUCUCACAACCACGUAUCUGGGCUGGCAGAGCACCUACUCUGUCGCACACGCGCUGUCCUCGACUGGCGAGGACGACGCCGCACUGAGCACGGCGGAUUGGGUGUCGCACCAGCUCAUCACAGCCCUGGAAGUGCUGGUGGCCGCUUACCAUGCUGUGCCCGCCGCCGGUGCCGAUCUUGUUCAGCUUGCCCUUGUCGACGAUAGCGUCAGUCAGCCAUCUUCUAACGCGAUCGUGGCGGCAUUGCUGCCAACCCUGACCGAUACAGCGGCUUGCGACGACGACUCUGUUGCCUGUGGCUGGGGGCCGAGCACGCUCUCCAUGAUACAGGUGGCGAACCGUCUGCUCCGCUGCGGCACUCCCUCCACGGCGCGCGCGUGUGCAGUCUGGGUGAAGCAGCUUGCCCACCGCUUCCCUCUCCUGCAGCACUACCAGCUGCUGUCGCUGCUGGAGACAACUGCGAUUUCUACGCAGUCCGAGCGUGCGGUCGCGCUUUGCGAGCGUGUGUGUCAAGCACUGGCUAGAGAGGCACCAGGCGACGUCACGACGGCGCUUUUGCUGGAAGGUUUGCUGCUUACGGACGUCUCCGGCCCCGGCUCCGCGUUCCUUCAACUCUCCCUUGACGACGUAGCUGCGUUCCUUGCGGCCGACCCAACUCUGGGGCCGAAGCUCUACGCCGUCGGUGUGCUGCGUCGCACCAUCACGGUCGGAUCGCUGCAUACGACUUUGAGCCACUGUGUCACUCACAGGUACCUGUACACCAACCUCGCGACGUGCAUCGAGGCGGUGGAGCGGAUGCACAGGUGCGCUUCCGUCACUGCGUCCACGCCGACGCAAGCCCCCUUUUCACAGCUGCGCCAUGCUCUGGAGGAGCUGCAGGUAGAUGCACUGCUGGCGAGCGCUUUCGCGAGGGUGUCAGAGGGUGAUGUUGCGUGCGGCUUCCAUGAUAUGCAGACGGCACUUGACCUUAUAACACGCCACAAAUGCCUGCCGUCAUACGCAGAGCUGUUGCAGGUGAUUCUCGGCCACGUUGUCGAAGUUGCUUGCGCGUCGCAGGCGAACAUGAAUGCGCUGCUGCGCGCCACCACGAUUGGCGCGGCGCAGCUCGAGGAGUCGCUGAUUCUGCGGUGGUACAACUACAUUGCGCGCCUACCGACCAAGAGCGCUACAGAGGCGACCGAGGCGCUGCGAUACCGUGCCAUCAUGGGUUUGCAUCGCUAUUUGAUGAACCGCCACGACUACGCCCAGUGCGCACGGCUCAUGUCGAGCCUGGCCACGCUCAUCCGCUGCUCGCCGCUGCGCCGCAGCGCGUCAGCCGGGAUCUCGGUGAGCGAGCUGGCCGGGCUUGCGCUGCACGCGGCGGAAAUGAUCGCGCCCUCUGCGCCUGUGCCAGAGACGGCAGCUGGAGAGCAAGGUGAGACCGGCCAGGCUGCACCCCAAGGCACGUCUCACGACCCGGCGCUUAUGGUGGGCUCGCCGCUAUCGCUAGGGUAUUCGUGGCAGCCGUCAACCUCGGCAUCCUCAGCUCCCAUUGACCUCAAUUCACCCACUCUCGGUGCGACGGCGCGUGGCCCUCGCUGGCUGACGCGCGCAGACAUUCCCUGCUUGCGCCGCCGCCUGUAUCAGGCCCACUGCGAACGCCAGCUGUGGCGUCGCGGCUGCACGCUGGACUGCACGGAUCUGUGGGUCGAGGGUGCCCCGGCGGACGCCUACCAGGCCGGCGUGGAGAAGCUUGUGGCCGCGCUCAUGCAGGCGCGCCUUUGGCCGCAGGCCUUUCGCUUCGCAUGUCUGUCAGCUGUAUAUGACCCCUGCACGGUGCUGGUUGAGUGGGCGGUGGACCUACUGCGCGCUUCGCGAGAUUACGGCAGCGAUGAAGUCGCUGCGGCUGAGGGCGUGCACGCUGAGCUAACCGCGGCGUGGGCGGAGCUCAUCGGCUACUGCGGGGAAAUCUCCAACCUCGAGAACCAGUUCUACGCGUACGUGCGCACCGUCACCGCAGCGUUGACGUACGCCUACUCGCAAGUGCCAACCGCGCUGCUUGCGGCUCAUCGGGCGGCUGACGCCUACACUGCCAUGACGACGCUGUUCCAUGUCGCGCUGAUACUGCGCAGGAAGGCAGAAGCGGUUGAGCUGGGGCAGCGGCGCAACGAGGAGGACGGGGGCGACAAAGAGGAAGCAGAUGAGUUGCCGUCGUCUUCCUCGAACCGCGAGGCUGGGGCCACUGCUGCCGGCCGCGACGCAGAGAAGCGAGGCGAGAUGCACCUAGAGGACAUAAGGUGCAACGUGUGGCGGGCCUGGUGCGCGGCGGCUCGAAUCGGCAUUGACAUGGCCGCUGAGCGUCAGCCGCGCUGCGCUUCUGCUGCUGCUCUAUACCAGCGUACUGUCGGCGCAAUCAUGGGCGCCGGCGAGGUCAUGGCGGAGGAGGAUGCGGCCCAGAUGCAUGCUGGGGUUGUCGUGGCCGGAACCGUGUCGGCUGCCUCGUCGGCCGCGCGCAGGACGUUUUCUGCUUUCACGGCUGGCGCGCUGGAUCCGAUGGCGGUGUGUGCGAACGAGCUGUUGAGGAUUCCAGCCUACCGAGCCUCCCUCAACCUGGUCGUGCGCGGUGAGGCGACGGUGCGUGAGUUCCAGGACCUCAUGGGGCGACCUUGUAGCUGACGAUUGGGCUGCGGCUGCUGAGCGCCAAGCCCAAACAAAACAACAAAAAAGAUGGCAUUUGCGGCCGCCAUUAGUGCAAGGAUGCGCCUUGCAGCGGUGGAAGGGAAGAGAGCGGGGACUUGCUUCUCCACCUUCCCAACUGCCCGCGAUACUUUCUCAGACUCGUAUUCGUCGAUGAAGCUUGGUCUCGUCGCUGUCAUAGCAUGGGUAGUAUGCAGAUGCGCGUCUGUGUCGUGCGUGUCUGUGCGUGAAGCAGUUUCGGUGCAAGGCCGAGCGCGAGGAGGAAGGAGAGAUGCAUCUUUUCCUCGCCACUAUCACAGAGUCCACCCCCGCCACUCUUCUUGUUGUCCCAGGUUGCCUAAUCCUUUUUUAUUAUUAUUAUUCUUUUCGCGUUUCUUGUUUGUUUCUUGACCGUAAUUCAUAUAGAGACCGGCUGUCUGUGUGUGUGUGUGUGCGUGUGCGUGAGCGUGCGCGUGGCGAUUGGCGACUGUAAUGACACUUCUGGUGUCGCAGUGUGCAUGUGCUGACGUACAUCUUGUGUUUGAUUGGUCUUUUCUUCUUUCCGUGUCUUUUUCUGUUUUCGGUUUAACAUCGGAAUAGCGGC